GCCCCUGUAUCCCAACUGGCAGAGGAAAUGGUCUCAAACACCAUCGAGUGUGGGUUCGAAUCCCACCGGGGGCA
rnacentral:tRNA from 1 species